UACGUAGGGUGCAAGCGUUGUUCGGAAUUAUUGGGCGUAAAGAGCGCGUAGGCGGCCCGGCUAGUCCGCUGUGAAAGUCCAGGGCUCAACCCUGGAAUGCCGGUGGAUACUGUCGGGCUAGAGUCCGGAAGGGGCGAGUGGAAUUCCUGGUGUGGCGGUGAAAUGCGCAGAUAUCGGGAGGAACGCCUGUGGCGAAAGCGGCUCACUGGGCCACAACUGACGCUGAGGCGCGAAAGCUAGGGGAGCAAACAGG
rnacentral:rRNA from 1 species